AAAUUUACAUACCUACGUAAAACUGAAAUCAUACUGAAUAGAUAGGUUCUACCUACCUAGAUUCCAUUAUAUAUACAACCUACUCCUGAAAGAAACGAAUAAGUGUUCUUUGAACGUGUUCGAGAUACUGUUACAAUAGCAAAGUUAAUACCUAUACGCUGUCAAAAGUACCUCCAGUUUUUCAAAAAACAGAAAAAAAGUUUCAUUCGAGUAAAGUGAUUUUGGUUAGAAGUAUACCUAUCCGCUGAACUUUGCAAUGUUCCUUGUAAAAGUCAUAUUCUUUGUGUUUUUAGUUGCUGUAUUGCACCUUGCUGUUAUAAAAGAUGCUCUGGUUGCUGGUGUUGGCUCAAAUGAAGCUUUGCUCGGCCCAUUGUAUCCGAAGUCGGACGAUGACAAUUUUACAAAGAGAUGAACAUAAUGGAAAAACAGGAAAACUGUGUGACAUACAGCAUAAAUAAUGUAAUAUGCUUUUUACCGACAUAAAUAAAAGAAAAAUGCAAUUCAUGUGUUGAUACUUAUUCAUGCGUAUUUUCUGUG